UGAUACGCCGGGCUGGCCUGCAGAACCCAGACAAUGGCCUGUUGUUCAGAGCGCUGCACAGGCUGCUUUCUCACAUGCCUCUGCUCUCACAGGUCCAAAUAGCUGGCUGCUUGUUCCACUCCAGCGCUUUUCGCAGAGUUCGGACCUGCUCUCACUAGAUUAAUCUCUGCUCUCACGGCGUCAUCUGGAUAACUGCGCCGCAUUUGGUGCGUGCCAGGGCCUCCGUGCACGAGAGAUGCCCAUGCUCUCGAGCUGCUUCUGGCGUUCCUGUGGAUAAUAACAGUGUUACUUUUCUCCUCCCAGGUGACAGUCAUCUCCUGAAUGAGCUUCUCAGACUCGUGCAGUUUCUCCUUCAGCUCAGGGGCCUUCAAUGACUGAUGGGAAUAAAGGAUCGAGGCGUCAGCGUAUCCCGGGAUUAU